GAUGAACGCUAGCUACAGGCUUAACACAUGCAAGUCGAGGGGAAACGACAUCAAAAUCUUGCUUUUGAUGGGCGUCGACCGGCGCACGGGAGAGUAACGCGUAUCCAACCUGCCCAUCACUUGGGAAUAACCUUGCGAAAGUAAGACUAAUACCCAAUGACAUCCCACGAAGACAUUUGAAUGGGAUUAAAGUUUUAUCGGUGAUGGAUGGGGAUGCGUCUGAUUAGCUUGUUGGCGGGGUAACGGCCCACCAAGGCAACGAUCAGUAGGGGUUCUGAGAGGAAGGUACCCCAGAUUGGAGCUGAGACACAGUCCAAACUGGUAGGGGGCGCAGGAGAGAGGAAUAUUAGGGGAUGGGCGAGGGCCUGAACCAGCCAAGUAGCGUGCAGGAGGACGGCCAUAUGGGUUGUAAACUGCUUGUAUAAGAGAAUAAAGUGAGUCUCGUGAGACGUUUUGCAUGUACCUUAUGAAUAAGCACCGGCUAAUUCCGUG
rnacentral:rRNA from 1 species